rnacentral:rRNA from 1 species
GAACGCUGGCGGCGUGCUAACACAUGCAAGUCGAACGGGUACCCAGACGGAGUUUCGGACAACAGACGGGACUACCUAGUGGCGGACGGGUGAGUAACGCGUGAGGAACCUGCCUUGGAGAGGGGAAUAACACAGAGAAAUUUGUGCUAAUACCGCAUGAUGCAGCUGGACCGCAUGGUCCUGGCUGCCAAAGAUUUAUCGCUCUGAGAUGGCCUCGCGUCUGAUUAGGUAGUUGGCGGGGUAACGGCCCACCAAGCCGACGAUCAGUAGCCGGACUGAGAGGUUGGCCGGCCACAUUGGGACUGAGACACGGCCCAGACUCCUACGGGAGGCAGCAGUGGGGAAUAUUGGGCAAUGGGCGCAAGCCCUGACCCAGCAACGCCGCGUGAAGGAAGAAGGCUUUCGGGUUGUAAACUUCUUUUAUGAGGGACGAAGGAAGUGACGGUACCUCAUGAAUAAGCUCCGGCUAACUACGUGCCAGCAGCCGC